rnacentral:sRNA from 1 species
CAGUGAGCUAAGUCCCCAACACUAGUCCUAAAAACGCUUAUGUGCUACUACUCAUACAGAGGGGCAUGUCCAGAUCCUAGCACUUGGUAAACUCGUCAUCCACUCUUAAACCUCGAACACCACACGAGGUCAAUUUUGUUCUAAGCAACUAGAAGAUACCAAGAGAUCUCCUAAGUAUUCUUAGACAGCGACGUGCCCAGUGUGGCCCUCGGAGCAGCUGAGUAGAGUGGGCUGUCGUGUGUCACCUCGACACAAUCCAGAGUCAGCAGAAAGAGGGAGCCUCUGUUCCAGUCUUGCCUCUGUUAGACUGGCCUAUGGGCAUUUUCUUGAUGAAUGGUUGAUGUGUGAUUCCCAGCACACCGUGGAUGGUACCACCAUGAGCAGGUUCAGAGGUUCAGUCCAUUAUCAUCAAGGCAGGAAUGU